rnacentral:rRNA from 1 species
UACGUAGGGUGCAAGCGUUAAUCGGAAUUACUGGGCGUAAAGGGCGUGUAGGCGGUUAGUUAAGUCUGGCGUGAAAGCUCUCGGCUAAACCGGGAGAGGUCGUUGGAUACUGGCUGACUAGAGGACGGUAGAGGCGUGUGGAAUUCCGGGUGUAGUGGUGAAAUGCGCAGAUAUCAGGAAGAACACCCGUGGCGAAGGCGGCUCUCUGGGACGGUACUGACGCUGAGACGCGAAAGCGUGGGGAGCGAACAGG